rnacentral:lncRNA from 11 species
AAAUACUUUGCAUUUCUUUUCCUUUUCAAAUACAGGUCAGAGACAUUUGGAAACCCUCCAGUAUGAAUCAGAGGAACAAAAGUCCCUGAAGCAGGCCCCCUCCCCGGUUUUCGGCAAGCCAAAGAGUUCAGCAGCGCAGUGUGAUGCGUGUCGGCACAUCAGAUACAGGGCUGUGGGUGUUCAGAGGGCAAUCGGAGAUCAUACACGGCCUUGGCAAAACUUUGUGGAUCCUGUCUCAGCUUGACCUGAAACUGUAACCUUUUGGAACUGCAACAGAAGUCCCUUCCAGCUUAUUCCUGUCUGGGAGCAGCAGAAAGAUUGAAAUGCAUCAAAGAACCUUUUGAGGAAAGGAAUUAUCCCAGCCCUGAAACAAAGGACUGUUCUUUGACAUCCUUCAAAUAAAGAACUACAAUCUACAAACAUGGACAUCCUUCCUAGCCUAGCUCAAACUGAGAGAAAAGUGCUCUGCACAGGGUACAGGCAUCUUAUGGAAGCUAAGCUGACCUGGAUCUGGUCAAUGUCAAGCUGGAAGACCAAGAGAAAAACCCACAUCGCAUUUGUUUGUCUUCUAUGAUGGAAGAAUAAAAUCUGGAGAAAUCAGAUACUAUUAUCUCACUGGCAUAUAUUUCAGUGUAUGUAUCUGAAUUUUUAUUUGUAUCAUAUAAUGAUUUAUGUGUUAUAAAUAACAAACAUUUUUAAAUGCCAGAUUUUUAUCAUCAUUAUUACCAUCAUCAUCAUCACUACCACCACUUUAUGCCUGGCUGUUAAUGAAGUGUAUGGGAAAUAUGCCAAGGAAUACCCAAAAGAACAUCUGGCACACAUAAAGAAAAUGAUAAAGGGGGGAAGUCAAGCAUAAACAAGGAAACACCCAACUGAGGUUGAUUCAGAGGAGGGCCAACAAGUGAUAGCACUUGGUAAAAUGG